CUCUCUCUCUUUCUCUCUCUCUCACUGCUGUAUUAAUAAAUUGAGUUUUUUAAGUUCGCCGCAGCGCGCCAACUGGUGUGAAGGCACCUGACAUCAUUGAUCUUCGAAGCAAUAAAGGAAAGAGCCAGGGAAGCCUCUUUACCAAGUACUCGAAGAGAAGGAAGAAAGGAUUGCACCAGGAACCUUACUCGGAACAACGCACAUGUAUGUGCUUGGGGCAAUGGAUAAAACUGGUGCUAAAAGGGUUGAGCUACUAUUAGGACAAAGUAGAUGUCACUCCUAGGUUGGAAGAAUUAAAAGCUUUGGAUGAUGUUACUUUGGCAGCAAAGUAAGGUAUUUUUUUUAAUAAUAGGAGCCCAGAUUCUUGAUGUAUUGUUUGAUUCAUGGGUACAAAGUUUUAUGCGUUUUAUGGGAGUGAGUUAUUCAUUAUUGGGUGACAUGGUUCAUGUAUGAGGAAGCAAGGGAAGAAGAGAAGCUAUGAAAUCGACACAAAGGACUUCAGUGAGAUGGUGGCAGAUGUUUGUUCUGAGUGCAUUCUAGAGUGGGCUGGAAUUUUUGUUCGUGUUGUUCUAUGGGUUUUCGCUUUUUUUUUCUUUUUUCAAUUUUUUGAACUAUGUGCAGGCUAAGAAAAAGAGGAAGUGCAGGAUGUAGGAAAAAGGAAGGGAAGGCAAAUAAGGAUUUCAAGUUUAGGCACAAAGCUAUGCAUCAAAUUCGCAUAGCAUGAAUGCUCCCCCUCCCCCUUUGGAUAUAUUCUGUUUGGUAAAUAUAUUGUGAACUAUGAAAUUCGAAGGAUCUGACACAUUAGAAGUUCUUAUUGACAUGUAAAAUGUGAAGUUCAUUGGUCGAUCGUGGGCCAUCUUGGUUCGAUUAAUGAAUGGACAGGGCAGCUAGUUGCAUUAUUGAGGUAGGAGUGAUGUUUAAAGGGAAUUUGAUUACUUAAUCCAUUCUGAGAUCGUCAAUGAAUCUUAACUGUGCCUGAACUUGGUGGAAAGUUGGAAGUGGUUUUAUUUUCUGAAGGGAAGCCGUGACCUAUAAAGCAUGAAUUUCUCAAGGUUACAUGGUAAAAGCCAAGUUAGAAAAGUGCUUCCAUGGGCUUCUUCUGAUUUUUUGGGUUUUCAAAUUGAGGGGCAGAAUUGGAGAAGGGAGCGAUGCCAUGCCUUCGUUGACUGCGAAUCUUCAUUUCUUUCGGACAGUGUGCCCGAGUCUCUUGCAACCCUAGUCUUAGCCCAUUCCAUUAUCACCCAAGACCCCCGUUGCCAUCCUUCACUCGUUGCCCCAAUUCACGGCUCUGGUUUUGCUCAGGUACUCAUAUGUUGGUAAAUGUCUAGCAAAAUGCAGCGCAGACAGCUUCCCCAAGCUUCAAAUUCUACUCCGAAGAUGGAGGAUUGGGAUCAGUUUUCGUCUCCUUGCUUUCCCUGUGAACGAAGAUGAACUGCAGUUGCAGUUAAUAUUUAAUGUUUGGACUGAAUUGAUAGUUUGCAUGCUUCAAUAUUAUAAUGCACUAACCAUGGUAUUGUUGAACCAAAUCAUGUGAAUUAUGAACCUUUGUUGCCAUUGGAUGUGCAAGAUUAUGUGUGUGCUCAUGAGUGUUCCAUGCUGAUAGACAUCAAUAUUGUGUUAGAAGGCUUAUCAUCUUGAACUAGGGGGUUUAAAGUAAAAAUAGUCAGUCCUUUGGAAGAAGAUGAAACAUAAAACUAGGUGAUGAAUGAAACUUUUCUCAAUAAUGCAUAUUUACCUUAGGAAAUAUUCCUUUCUAUAAGUCUUUUGUGGCAUGCAAUGAGAAACAGAGCAUCAACAUAUGAACUUAUGCAAAUAUAGGGCUCACUAGUUCUAUGUGGAUAUGUUAUUUACUGAGAUGGGAGAUGAAGCCUUUAUUUUUUCUUGUUGCUUAUCCAAAUCAGACAUCAUAAGGGUGAUAUCUAUCAAUUUUAGAGUAGUAUUUGUUUAAGUCUCUAGGAAUGACAGCAUAUUUGUGAAUUUUCAGUUGUACUUUUUAAAAUUCACAAGCCUCUGCCAUUUAUUGGUCUUUCUUUUAAUAGAGAUACUAGACUAUAAUGAAUGUUUCUCCAUGGAGAAAAAAGGACUACGAUCUAUGGCUUCAUAGAGCUAUGAGCUAUCCUUGGAUGCGUCUGCUUCCGAAUUAGCCAACUCAUCUGCCACUAUUUUGACCUUCUGAAAAAUGUAUUUAACAAGUAAUUGAGAACUGGUCUUACUAGUUCUGCUAGUUCUUUAGAAACAACUGAUGGCUUUCCAAAUUUUCUAGAUCACUAUGGUAGUAUCGAACUUUAUAAAACUGGUGGCUCAUCUGUAGUUAACCCCAUCUUACCACUGUUUUUGUUGGGUUUUGUUUGUGUGUGUGUGUGUGCGUGUGUAGAGAGAGAGAGA